rnacentral:rRNA from 1 species
GUGGGGAAUCUUAGACAAUGGGCGCAAGCCUGAUCUAGCCAUGCCGCGUGAGCGAUGAAGGCCUUAGGGUUGUAAAGCUCUUUCAGGGGGGAAGAUAAUGACGGUACCCCCAGAAGAAGCCCCGGCUAACUCCGUGCCAGCAGCCGCGGUAAUACGGAGGGGGCUAGCGUUGUUCGGAAUUACUGGGCGUAAAGCGCACGUAGGCGGACCAGAAAGUCAGGGGUGAAAUCCCGGGGCUCAACCCCGGAACUGCCUUUGAAACUCCUGGUCUUGAGGUCGAGAGAGGUGAGUGGAAUGCCGAGUGUAGAGGUGAAAUUCGUAGAUAUUCGGAGGAACACCAGUGGCGAAGGCGGCUCACUGGCUCGAUACUGACGCUGAGGUGCGAAAGCGUGGGGAGCAAACAGGAUUAGAAACCCCGGUAGUCC